UACGUAGGGGGCAAGCGUUGUCCGGAAUCAUUGGGCGUAAAGAGCGUGUAGGCGGCUUGGUAAGUCCGCUGUGAAAGUCCAGGGCUCAACCCUGGAAAGCCGGUGGAAACUGUCAAGCUUGAGUCCGGAAGAGGCGAGUGGAAUUCCUGGUGUAGCGGUGAAAUGCGCAGAUAUCAGGAGGAACACCGAUGGCGAAGGCAGCUCGCUGGGACGGUACUGACGCUGAGACGCGAAAGCGUGGGGAGCAAACAGG
rnacentral:rRNA from 1 species